UAGUAAAGUCAGCUAAAAAGCUUUUAGGCCCAUACCCUAACCAUAGAGGUGAAAACCCUCUU
rnacentral:tRNA from 1 species